AUGGCUGAAGAAAAGCCCAAGUAUAACUGCACUGUCAGUGAAGUCACAAUUGUGAACCUGCAGCCUGAGAAAAAUCCAGUUCUCCUCCUACCAGGAGGGAAGCCAGGAAGUGAUCAUAGAAACCUCGGUUUCCAGCCUCCAUCUCCAAGGAUUUCAGAGAAGCUAUGCCAGGGAGAGAAAAAGUUGUGUCCAGAAAAGGUGAAAAAGGAGGGGGCUUUGUCUCCCAGCCUGCAUUGUGCAAAUGAGUUGUGUAGCACAGAGAACAUGACCCUGAAGAGACCAGUGAAGCUGGCCCCUCUGGAGAUCCCUGUGGAAGUAAAAGAAGCCCAGCUCCAAAAGAUCAUGAGCCUCCAGAGAGAAGCCCAAAUGGCUGCCCAGAAGCUGAUGGUGAUCAACUCCAUGCAGAAUGAGCUCCAUGUGAAACGGGUCAAGAAUCUGGCUCAGGGGGAGCUGGGAAACCUCCAGAAGAUAAAGCUGAAUGAGAAGGCUACUCUGGAGAACAAAGAUGAUCCCCUACCCCCUAAAAACAGCAAACCCCUUGGAGAAAUCCAAAUCAUUCUGCCUUCAGAGACACCCCCUAAGCUGACUAAGCAGGCAGAUGCUGAGGAGGCUCCCAAGACACUCAGUAAGCCAUUAAUCCCCAUUCUGCAGGUGUCUGACAUGCAUGGAGAGCCCCAGAGCCCUGAGAGCACCCCUGAGCCCUGCCAAAACGCUGCUCGGCGCCGCUUCAGAGUGAGACACACAAAAGAGCAGCAGGAGGACACCGGGAAAGCCAAACCCUUAAAGGCCACAGAUCCAAGUGUGGGAGAAGGCACAAAGAAAACUGCAGGGCAGAGGACGCAGAAAACCCUCAGUGACGCCAGCAAGCUCAUUGAAAACGUGUCCAAAAAGCAGAAGGAACGAGGAGCAAAGCAAAGAGAAAUGGAUGAAGCCUCUCUUGUGAGGAGGCAGUCGAUUCGAAGGAUGGCCUUGGGAGACAUCAUCCAGGUGGAUGAUGACUGA
rnacentral:lncRNA from 1 species